UUGGGGCGUAGCCAAGCGGCAAGGCACCGGGCUUUGGUCCCGGCAUCGUAGGUUCGAAUCCUGCCGCCCCAGU
rnacentral:tRNA from 1 species